GCACUGCUGAGGAGUGGGUCCCACAAUAGGACGAAACGGCCGUCCAGUGC
rnacentral:hammerhead_ribozyme from 1 species